GUGGUGGACAAGCUGGUGGAGUUUGGACUAUCAUCGUCAAGUGAAACCCGUGCUUUUGCGGAAGAAGUCUUUGCCAGAGUACCCCAUAAAGCUGCUGGUUUGAAUCAAGAAAGGGAAGCUCCUUUUUUAGCGAGGAACCAGAGGACUUAUUCAAUUCUGGAUGACGACGACGAUAGCAAACAUAACAUCAGUCAAGGACGCAUUGACAAUGAGUCUUCUAGGAACGCGACUUCAGAGACUGGCAAAGUAGCUUCUCGUGAGAAAUAGUUUAGGAAAAAGAGCGGAAGUCAUGAAGAUGAGGAUGAGGAUGAGGAGUCUGUUGCUCAUGUUGAUGAAGAAAGAAUGGUCAAGAGACGGACUUCUCACGACGAAGAUGGUGGCUCCGAGUCAGAGGAAGAGAGAUCACGCGAUCAAAGAGAAAGGGAAGAACGGAACGACAUCUAAAAGCACGAGAUGCAGCGGCAACUCGGAAGG